rnacentral:rRNA from 1 species
GAUGAACGCUAGCGGGAGGCCUAAUACAUGCAAGUCGAGCGGUAGAGUGACUUCGGUUGCUUGAGAGCGGCGAACGGGUGAGUAACGCGUACACAAUCUACCUUUAAGAGGGGAAUAGCCCUGGGAAACUGGGAUUAAUGCCCCAUGGCAUCACGAAGUGGCAUCGCUUUGUGAUUAAAGCUGAGGUGCUUAGAGAUGAGUGUGCGUCUGAUUAGCUAGUUGGUGCGGUAACGGCGCACCAAGGCGACGAUCAGUAGGGGGCGUGAGAGCGUGGACCCCCACACGGGUACUGAGACACGGACCCGACUCCUACGGGAGGCAGCAGUAAGGAAUAUUGGUCAAUGGAGGAAACUCUGAACCAGCCAUCCCGCGUGCAGGAAGAAUGCCCUAUGGGUUGUAAACUGCUUUUAUCUGGGAAGAAAAGUCGGCAUUUAUGCUGAUCUGACGGUACCAGAGGAAUAAGCACCGGCUAACUCCGUGCCAGCAG